rnacentral:rRNA from 1 species
CCUGACUGUCAUCACCCUGCAGCUCUCAACUGGCUACCCACUGAAGCUAAGCUGGGUUGAGCCUGGUCAGUACCUGGAUCGGAGACCUCUGGGGAAGACCAGUGGUACCAGUAAGGG